CAGAUGGAAGAAGAGGGGAACGGGCUCGCUAGGAUAUCGCAUCCUAUGCCUACGUAUCUUAUCUGGAAUGAGAAUCAGAGCUACCGUAGUUCGACUAACGCACGCCGAAACCAAACACACACAAAGACGCUGAAACAUCAAAAGAAACUCGCAAAUGGAAACGGAAUGCCAAUCGCUGGUCUUACAUCCAACUCCGAACAACAAACACAAACGAGGAAACCGAAUGCCAAUCGUUGGGCUUACAUCAGACUCCAC
rnacentral:lncRNA from 1 species